rnacentral:rRNA from 1 species
GACGAACGCUGGCGGCGUGCCUAAUACAUGCAAGUCGAACGGAGUGGCGCACGGGUGAGUAAUAUAUAGCUAAUCUGCCCCUUGCUGGAGGACAACAGUUAGAAAUGACUGCUAAUACUCCAUAGCAAGGGAUGAGACUAAAUCGUAUCAGCUAGGCGGAGGGGUAACGGCCUACCGAGGCGAUGACGAGUAACUGGUCUGUGAGGAUGCUCACUCAAAUUCGAACUGAGGAACUGUCCGAACUCCUUCGGGAGGCAGCAGUAGGGAAUAGUGCGCAAUGGGGGAAACCCUGACGCAGCGACGCCGCGUGGAGGAUGACACUUUUCGGAGCAUAAACUCCGUUUGUUAGGUCCGCGGUACCUACCGAAUAAGCACCGGCUAACUCCGUGCCAGCAGCCGCGGUAAUAC